rnacentral:lncRNA from 1 species
GCCUUCUCUACCCAGGCCUCCAUCAGCAGAAGGAGCCAUCACUGUCAGCAGUCCUGCAACAAUAUUUCUCUCUGCCAGCCUUGUUUAGAACCGGCAAACCCUUUCCCAUAAAGGGCAUGGAUGAAAAGGUUCACCAUGAAAGGCAGAUCAUAGUUAGGAAAGGCCAGGGACCACCUAAAAUCUCCUCCUGGACCCCAGAGAUAUGUGGGUCCCACUCACUCUUUGGGAAACACUGACUUGUAGCAUAUACUCUGAAAUGGAGAAUAAUUUAAUUAUCCCAUGGUAAUCCCACCCUGUCAGUCACUUUCAAAUCAAAGACCUAAAAACCUUGAGGGUAAUGAGGCUACACAGUGGAAGUCACAGUAGAAAUCUGUUGCAUUAAUUACCUAUGGACCAUGAAAUACAUUUUUUUCCCCCUAGUUUCAGCCAUGGAGCUUUACAUAUGACAAAUCCUCUCUUAUUUGUGACUCUGCUCACCCAGUUCAGUAGGUCUUUACAUAUUUGGGCUCUCUUUACAAAGCAGCUUAAACAAAUUGUGGUUAUGGCACCAAGAAGAGAUUCCAGGAAUGAGGAAGUCACUCCCCCAAAUGCAGGCACAAGGCAAAUUCCAUACUGGGCUGGUUCAACCUGGGUACGUACUUGAUUUCAGAGUCACUAUGACAGCCUUGAUUUAAAAUAGGCAAUUAUUUUCCACUAGGCAAAAGCAUUCAACCUAGAAAAAGUCACAGAGAAGACUAAGUUCCCUUCUCAUCCCUUCCCUGGUUCCAGUUCCUUUCCCCAGAGAAACGUUUGUUCCUUUGAUGUCACCUGUCUGAGUUUGGAUUUCCUCAAAAGAAGAGACUGAAGCCAGGACUUGGGUGCAAGCAGUUUCUUAGGGAGGUGAUGGCGGAGCAGAAGCGGAGGCACAGAGACAGCAAGACAAGGAAGGGAGGAAAACGAAGACAGGAACAUCAGCUAUAAAGGAAGUGGUUCUCCAGGAAGUCACAGAGAUGAGGGUCCGUGCCGGCAGUAUCCAGAGCAUGCUGAUCCAAAAGGGCCUGGUUGAAGUUCCUCUUCAAGAUCAUGACGGCUUCCACGGGGUCCAGGGUUUUACCCCACUUAGUUCUGGAUAGCUUCUGCAUGUCCUGGAAGAAGGGACAGCUACCGUGCUGGUUUUGCGUCUUCAAGAGAUGCUGAGAGCCCUCGGGCUUCUUCUUGGCUAACUUACAGAAGAAGCAGCCCAAGCCCCUCCAGAGCCACAUCCUCAUGGUGGAAACAAAGCUAGAGAGAGGUAGGUAGGUGAAGAAGGCUCACAGAUGCAAGUUGACCAGAUGGUUGAUGGCCGUCUCCACCUGGGCGGAAUAAUUCUGAUGAAUCUAAGAGCUCAAGGUUGGUCGGCAAUAAGGAGCUAAGCACAAAGUGUGGUGUUGGUGGGAGCAGAGGACCGCCGAGAAGAUGGUC